UAGCAUAUCAAUAAGCGGAGGAAAAGAAACCAACAGGGAUUACCUCAGUAACGGCGAGUGAAGCGGUAACAGCUCAAAUUUGAAAUCUGGGUCUUUCAGGCUCCGAGUUGUAAUUUGUAGAAGAUGCUUUGGGUGCGGCCCCGGUCUAAGUUCCUUGGAACAGGACGUCAUAGAGGGUGAGAAUCCCGUAUGUGAUCGGUGGCUUGCGCCCGUGUAAAGCUCUUUCGACGAGUCGGGUUGUUUGGGAAUGCAGCUCUAAAUGGGUGGUAAAUUUCAUCUAAAGCUAAAUAUUGGCCAGAGACCGAUAGCGCACAAGUAGAGUGAUCGAAAGAUGAAAAGGACUUUGGAAAGAGAGUUAAACAGUACGUGAAAUUGUUGAAAGGGAAGCGCUUGCAACCAGACUUGCGCGGGGUUGAUCAUCCGGGGUUCUCCCCGGUGCACUCGGCCUCGCUCAGGCCAGCAUCGGUUUCGGUGGUUGGAUAAAGGCCUUGGGAAUGUGACUUCUUUCGGGGAGUGUUAUAGCCCUCGGUGCAAUGCAGCCUACCGGGACCGAGGACCGCGCUUCGGCUAGGAUGCUGGCGUAAUGGUUGUAAGCGACCCGUCUUGAAACACGGACCAAGGAGUCUAACAUCUAUGCGAGUGUUUGGGUGUCAAGCCCAUACGCGUAAUGAAAGUGAACGGAGGUGAGAACCCUUAAGGGUGCAUCAUCGACCGAUCCUGAUGUCUUCGGAUGGAUUUGAGUAAGAGCAUAGCUGUUGGGACCCGAAAGAUGGUGAACUAUGCCUGAAUAGGGUGAAGCCAGAGGAAACUCUGGUGGAGGCUCGCAGCGGUUCUGACGUGCAAAUCGAUCGUCAAAUUUGGGCAUAGGGGCGAAGACUAAUCGAACCAUCUAGUAGCUGGUUCCUGCCGA
rnacentral:rRNA from 1 species